rnacentral:rRNA from 1 species
CCUACGGGAGGCAGCAGUGAGGAAUAUUGGUCAAUGGGCGAGAGCCUGAACCAGCCAAGUCGCGUGAGGGAAGACGGCCCUAUGGGUUGUAAACCUCUUUUGUCGGGGAGCAAAAGCCGGGACGUGUCCCGGUCCGAGAGUAUCCGAAGAAAAAGCAUCGGCUAACUCCGUGCCAGCAGCCGCGGUAAUACGGAGGAUGCGAGCGUUAUCCGGAUUUAUUGGGUUUAAAGGGUGCGUAGGCGGACCGUUAAGUCAGCGGUAAAAUUGCGGGGCUCAACCCCGUCGAGCCGUUGAAACUGGUUGUCUUGAGUGGGCGAGAAGUACGCGGAAUGCGUGGUGUAGCGGUGAAAUGCAUAGAUAUCGCGCAGAACUCCGAUUGCGAAGGCAGCAUACCGGCGCCAAACUGACGCUGAGGCACGAAAGUGUGGGGAUCGAACAGGAUUAGAUACCCGAGUAGUC